rnacentral:rRNA from 1 species
AACGAACGCUGGCGGCAUGCCUAACACAUGCAAGUCGAACGAGACCUUCGGGUCUAGUGGCGCACGGGUGCGUAACGCGUGGGAACCUGCCCUUAGGUUCGGAAUAACUCCCCGAAAGGGGUGCUAAUACCGGUUAAUCUCUUCGGACCAAAGAUCUAUCGCCUGGGGAUGGGCCCGCGUUGGAUUAGCUAGUUGGUGGGGUAAAAGCCUACCAAGGCGUGGAUGGAUAGCUGGUCUGAGAGGGUGACCGGCCACACUGGGACGGAGAUACGGCCCAGACUCCGACGGGAGGCAGCAGUGGGGAAGAUUGCACAAUGGGCGGAAGCCUGAUGCGGGAACGCCGCGUGCGGGAUGACGGCCUUCGGGUUGGAAACCGAUUUCGCCUGUGACGAAGCGUGAGUGACGGGAAUGGGGAAAGAAGCACCGGCUAACUACGUG